AAUAUACUCCAGCUAUCUAGGCAUCAUACAUAUAAACUGAUUUUUUUUUGGCUAAAUGCAAAAUAGAACUUCCAUUGAGGCACCUGACCAAGAUGGAACCUGGAACUCCAUAUCUUAGCAAAUUCCUCAAAUGGUUCCUGCAGAGCACUACAAUGCAUGUAUCAAUGCCCGCUGAAUAUGGCCCAACCAUCACAGCUAACCAGUAGAAUGUAGAGUGAAGUUCAUAUGUUUGUCCUUUGUACUGAAGAGUCAUGGUUGAUGGGUCCAGGCACAUAACACAAGUAGGCCCUCAGUUAAUACUUACAGUUUAUGGAGUGAAUGAAUCAGUAACACCCCAAAUUGGAUCUGUUAUGUAGUCAGCUGGACUUUGCCCGAAGUCAGUUCCUGAGACGGUAACAGGAGCAAGAUUUAGAAACUUCUUCCUCGCCCAUAUAAAUUCUUGCGGAUUACUUCAGAGGAAGUUCAAAAGUCCUUGAAAUUUUCUAAUUUAGUUGUGGAAUUAAAAAUGGCUUAAUAGCAUCGCCAGAGAAAUUCAUAAAGGAAGAGCACAAUUGAGGAUUCCGGUUGUGAGAAAAUAACUAAGCACCUCAGCUUAGGACUGAGAAUGAGAAGAAAAUGCAGGUGAGAUGAGAGGCCCAUGGAGAUCACCUUCCCCACGCCUCCAGGAUCAAGCACAGAGAUUAAUGGAGCCUUCGAAUUUUAAAUUCAGGCUUACCUUCAAGUUUUCCAAGAAGGCCCAGAUGUCAAGAUAUUCAUGUGUACCUGCAUCCAUGCAUCACUGUUCCAGGAUACUCCAUAUGAAAGAAAUAUCUUGAAAAUGAACAAAAAUUCCUAAAUAUUGAUGGAGCUACAAGAAGUGUCUGGAAUACCUUACAACAAAAACCCAGGAGAGACAGAUAUUUGGGUGCACGGGUUAAGCUGCCUCUUGAGACACCCGCAUACCAUAUCAGAGUACGUACCAUGGUGCAAGACCCAACUCCACUUCCAAUUCAGCUUCCUGCUUAUGCACACCAUGGGAGGCAGUGGAAAAUAACUAAAAUUCGCAGGUCUCUGUCAACCCUGUGAGAGAUGCAGAUGGAGUUCCUCACUUCUGGCAUUGUCCUGGCCCAUCUUCAGUUGUUACAGGCCUUUAGGCAGUAAUCCAGCAGAUGGAAGAUGUCUCUAUGUUUGUUUGUCUAUGUGUGUGUCUAUGUGUGUGUUUGGAUUUCAAAUAAAUAAAAUGAGUCUUAAUUUUAAGAGUAA